CUCCUUUACCUUUGUGCUCCUUACUGCUCCUUGCAGGCCCUUCCUGCUCCUUGCAGGCCCUUCCUGCUCAUUCUCCUACUUUAUGUUUGUGCUCCUUCUGCCCCUUCCAGCUUAUUUCUGACCCUUUGUGCUCCUUCUACUUUACCUUUGUGCUGCUUUACCUUCCAGCUCCUUGCUGACCCUUCCUGUUCAUUUCUGUUCCUUUGUGCUCCUUCUCCUACUUUACCUUUUGUGCUCC